rnacentral:rRNA from 1 species
GGGUUGUGAGGUUAAGCGACUAAGCGUACACGGUGGAUGCCCUGGCAGUCAGAGGCGAUGAAGGACGUGCUAAUCUGCGAUAAGCGUCGGUAAGGUGAUAUGAACCGUUAUAACCGGCGAUUUCCGAAUGGGGAAACCCAGUGUGUUUCGACACACUAUCAUUAACUGAAUCCAUAGGUUAAUGAGGCGAACCGGGGGAACUGAAACAUCUAAGUACCCCGAGGAAAAGAAAUCAACCGAGAUUCCCCCAGUAGCGGCGAGCGAACGGGGAGCAGCCCAGAGCCUGAAUCAGUGUGUGUGUUAGUGGAAGCGUCUGGAAAGGCGCGCGAUACAGGGUGACAGCCCCGUACACAAAAAUGCACAUACUGUGAGCUCGAUGAGUAGGGCGGGACACGUGGUAUCCUGUCUGAAUAUGGGGGGACCAUCCUCCAAGGCUAAAUACUCCUGACUGACCGAUAGUGAACCAGUACCGUGAGGGAAAGGCGAAAAGAACCCCGGCGAGGGGAGUGAAAAAGAACCUGAAACCGUGUACGUACAAGCAGUGGGAGCACGCUUCGGCGUGUGACUGCGUACCUUUUGUAUAAUGGGUCAGCGACUUAUAUUCUGUAGCAAGGUUAACCGAAUAGGGGAGCCGAAGGGAAACCGAGUCUUAACUGGGCGUUAAGUUGCAGGGUAUAGACCCGAAACCCGGUGAUCUAGCCAUGGGCAGGUUGAAGGUUGGGUAACACUAACUGGAGGACCGAACCGACUAAUGUUGAAAAAUUAGCGGAUGACUUGUGGCUGGGGGUGAAAGGCCAAUCAAACCGGGAGAUAGCUGGUUCUCCCCGAAAGCUAUUUAGGUAGCGCCUCGUGAAUUCAUCUCCGGGGGUAGAGCACUGUUUCGGCAAGGGGGUCAUCCCGAC